rnacentral:rRNA from 1 species
UACAGAGGUCCCCAAGCGUUGUUCGGAUUCACUGGGCGUAAAGGGUGCGUAGGUGGUGAGGUAAGUCGGAUGUGAAAUCUCCGAGCUCAACUCGGAAACUGCAUUGGAAACUACCUUGCUCGAGGGUUGGAGGGGGGGACUGGAAUGCUUGGUGUAGCAGUGAAAUGCGUAGAUAUCAAGCGGAACACCAGUGGCGAAGGCGAGUCCCUGGACAACUCCUGACACUGAUGCACGAAAGCUAGGGGAGCAAACAGG